rnacentral:rRNA from 1 species
UCUUAAAGGAAAAAUUAUUAACGUUAGAGUAUUAAGAGUUAUGGUCUUUAAAUUUAAAGGAUUUGGCGGUAGUUUAGUCCAGUCAGAGGAACCUGUUUUUGAAACGAUAAACCACGAAAUAUCUUACCUACUUUUGUUUUCAGUUCGUAUACCGUCAUUAUUAGAUAACUUCUAUAGAAUUAAGUCAUUAUAAUGCUGGAUGGGCAGUAUAUUAGAUCAAGGUGCGGCUAAUAGGAAGGUUAAAAUGGGUUACAAUAAAUGUUUAUUUAUUACGGAUAAUAAAAUGUAAGAAUUUUUUGGAAGGAGGAUUUGAUUGUAAUUUUUAUUUAAUAUGUAAAGUUGAUAUCGGCUCUAAACUAUGUACAUAUCGCCCGUCGCUUUCAUUUAUUAAGAUGAAAUAAGUCGUAACAUAG